AUAGGAGGGCUGCACCAGCCCCAGCCCCAGCAGGGUCAGCAGCAAGAGCAGAAGCAGUGAACGGGUCCUGUGGAGAGCCAUCACUACCUUGGAGAUGCCUACACGGAAAUGCAAGGGGCAGGAGAAAGAAAGGUAUCAGACCACUGUGCUAGGUCCUGAACACAAAGACCAUCAAAACCACCAAAUGCCUCCCGAGAAGAGGUUGUAGCAUCCAUGGAGAAGGGAUGGGAGCUCCAAUUUCCUGAGAUGAGACGAAUGAAAUUGCAGAGAUAAGUUCGUGUGUAAGUUUAGUUGGUGGCAAAAGGCAUUAGCCGGAAGAAACAGCUAAGAGGUUGACUGAGAUGCAUCACUCCUUAAGGCUCAGCAGUAAAUAAAAUCCUAAAAAAAAAAAAGAAGGCCUGAGGUUUUGAGGAGGAAGAAAAGUGGGCAGCAUGGUGAACCUGAAAAAGACAAACUUCACUGGCUUUUCAGCUAUGUAGAUGCUGGAGAACUGAGUUCUAAAGAGCUCUAAGCCCGUCAUUUGGUGGGGAGGACACUGCCGGGCCCGUACAACACCCCUAAGGCUUCAGCAAUCACGGACGACAGAAGCAGCAGCCCACUCCCAGUCUGUGGGGAUCAAGAUGACUUGAUGGACACGAUCCUUCUCUGAUAAAUCACCUAAAGGAAGAGAUAAGCUUGGCACAAUGAAGUUUUGAUGAAAGAGAAGAUAAAGGUUUGGGGUAAAAAAAAGUUUGACUAUUUCAUUAAAAUGCAUCUAAGUGCUUA